UGCGAAGGGGGCUAGCGUUGUUCGGAAUCACUGGGCGUAAAGGGCGCGUAGGCGGCUUUAUAAGUCGGGGGUGAAAGCCUGUGGCUCAACCACAGAAUUGCCUUCGAUACUGUAGAGCUUGAGACCGGAAGAGGUAAGUGGAACUGCGAGUGUAGAGGUGAAAUUCGUAGAUAUUCGCAAGAACACCAGUGGCGAAGGCGGCUUACUGGUCCGGUUCUGACGCUGAGGCGCGAAAGCGUGGGGAGCAAACAGG
rnacentral:rRNA from 1 species